UACGAAGGGGGCUAGCGUUGCUCGGAAUCACUGGGCGUAAAGCGCACGUUAGGCGGAUUGUUAAGUCAGGGGUGAAAUCCUGGAGCUCAACUCCAGAACUGCCUUUGAUACUGGCGAUCUCGAGUUCCGGGAGAGGUGAGUGGAACUGCGAGUGUAGAGGUGAAAAUUCGUAGAUAUUCGCAAAGAACACCAGUGGCGGAAGGCGGACUCACUG
rnacentral:rRNA from 1 species